rnacentral:rRNA from 1 species
AUGUUCCUAGUUGGGGGUUCACAUGCAUUUAGUGUGAUAGAAGAAGUGGGGUUCAAAAGAAUGAUUGGUGCUGCUUGUCCUCAGUUUAAGAUUGUUAGCCGGUACACAAUUAGAAGGGAUAUCAUGGCAAUGUUUGCAAGAGAGAGGACUGAAUUGAGAGAAAUUAUCAGCAACAACCCUAGUAGAGUUAGCUUCACCACGGUCAAUUGGAAAUCAGAUGUGACAAAGUUUAGUUAUAUUUGUAUUACUUGUCAUUAUGUUGAUGAUGCUUGGAGGCUGAACAAAAGGAUAAUAUGGUUU